rnacentral:lncRNA from 1 species
UUAAACCAUGGGUUUAAUGCAGCAAGGAAACUUACAAUGUCCCUUUAUAUAUAACAUGCAUCUUGUUUUGGAUUUGUGUCAUUUUUUAAUAUAGCUGAUUGACUUCACAGAAAGCAGCUUUUUUGAAUUCUAAUACAUAGGUGUAUAUUUGGUAUUAGUUAUUUUGAGUUCUUUUCAACUUAUAACACUGUAUACAGUUAUUUCUAAAGCACAGAUGAAAUAAGUUCUGCAUAUUUUUAAAUAAUCACAGUUCCCUGUUAUACAGAUAAUGUUCUCACUACCCAUAAUAUGUAGGAACAUUGUUUCUCCUUAGCCGUAGUAUGCAUACACCUAUCCAUGUUCAUUCUGACAUCCUUUGUUGUCUUUAUAAUUCAUGUGGUAGUUACCUAUAAAUAAAAACAAAUAUGAGUUAAAAAAAAAA